AUACGUAGGUGACAAGCGUUAUCCGGAUUUACUGGGCGUAAAGGGCGUGUAGGCGGUCUUGCAAGUCAGAAGUGAAAUUCCUGAGCUCAACUCGGGCGCUGCUUCUGAAACUGCAGGACUUGAGUGCUGGAGGGGAUAGCGGAAUUCCUAGUGGAGCGGUAAAAUGCGCAGAUAUUAGGAAGAGCACCGGUGGCGAAGGCGGCUAUCUGGACAGUAACUGACGCUGAGGCGCGAAAGCGUGGGGAGCAAACAGGAUUAGAUUCCCUGGUAGUCCACGCUGUAAACGAUGAAUACUAGGUGUAGGGGGUAUCGACUCCCUCUGUGCCGCAGUUAACACAAUAAGUAUUCCGCCUGGGGAGUACGGCCGCAAGGUUGAAACUCAAAGGAAUUGACGGGG
rnacentral:rRNA from 1 species